CCUAGAGCCCAGAUACAUCUCAUUCAUACAAUGGCGGAGGCCAAUCAGACGCGAUUGUCUUCAUCCGUACAUCACAGUACGGUGACACGGAGAUAACUCAAAAAGAAACCAAGACGCAAGGUAACAAUCUUCGUCUCUCGUGACUUGGCGCAAACUCCUGUUCCAUCUUGUGAUCAUCAGCAGAAUCUGCGAUUCUCAACUUAUGAAACCCUGCUUUAUUCAUUUUUUUUCUUGCAUCUUGCAAACAUUCUCCGUUUGGUCACCGAGAAAAAUGCAAAUGAAAUAAAUCAAAUUCUUUUUAUCGGAGAAGCUUGGAGGUUGGCGCUGAUGUCAUGCGCUAAAUGACUCGCUCCGCUGUAGAAUAUGGUCCAUGGACAAAACCCUCUGUUUUUAUUGAUUUCAUGAUGUGCUUGCUAUAGGCCUUUGGCGGUGAAGGAUUGAUUCCAUGGAAAUUGUUUGAGCAGCUGAUGUCUAGCUUUUUCAAGUAAACUGAAACAUGUUAAUUGUUGUCAGUCCAUUUUCCGGGUCUGAUGCUUUUAUGGUUUUAUGUUCAAUCAACAUCACAGUAAUAAUCGCUACUUUAUUUUGUUUUACCGAUGAUAAAAGUCAUGUAGUUCAUGAUGUUAGACACCCUUAACAAAUACUCUUGCAACCAUGAUAUCAUUUCCUUACCAGUUAUUUCCUACCUAGCAUUCUUACAGAAACUGGAGAGACGCCUAAAGAAAAGGUAAAAAACUUCAAAUAGGUGGUUGCAGUUCCUGACAUGGUUGGGUUGAAUUAACUGAGCAGUUGGGUUGACAUCACAGUUCCUAACCAUGUUGUCCUUACAAGAGGUAUUGGAAGCAGCAAGGUAACAUGGCCUUCAUGUGCUUAGGAGAGGGUGGUCAUUUUCUAUCUUAGAAACUGCUUUCGUUGAUUAGCUAUGAUAGUCACUGCCUUUCGGUGAGAACAGUGGGCCCUCCCCCCUAUUUUCUCUGUUUUUGUCCUCCCUUCAUCAACCAAUCUCAUUCACGGAACAUGGCUAGCUUCUUUUGAAGGCUGGCCCCUGGCCCAUUCCAGUUUCAGUCUCACCUUCGAGUCUUAAUUCAGGCAUCUUUUGAUUUUUGAUUUUUGAGUUUGACUCAGCUGACUCAGUAAAUUUUUCCUAUUUAUUUAACUGGUACAGGACAAGGGUUUAGAAUUAGAUAAUCUCUUUGGUAGGUUUUUCCAAAUGACUCACAACUGGGGGUAGGAAUAAGCAGCCAACUACAGUUACUAUAUUCAAUCAGAGGGCUGAAGAGCUGAGAAAGUGUAUUCACCUUGGACCUGUUUUUCCAAAACCCCUUUAGUACUCUUUUGUCUUUUCUGGUCUCUGCCACUAAAUUGAAUAAAACCUGCAAAAAAAAAUUUAAGAUCUAAACAGUUCUGUAACAAAUGUGGAUUAGGAUAAUCUAAAAUUGCAUAAAGAAAAACCUGGUCAUGGGCCCUGGAUUAUUGUAAUCCACUUACCAAACAGACCCGCAAUGGUGUUCCAAUGUGGGUUCCAAUAGUUGUUCUAUUGAGUUAUGAAUCGCCUCAGCUAAAUAGCAGGGUAUUGAUUGUGGGUCUCCCACACAUGCAUGAAGUAUGACCGUGGGAAUUUAUGUACUGCAACGUACCUUUUGGGAUGAUAAAAAUGUGAAGAGGUAGACAGGAAGGCUGGGUGUAGGUUCAUUAAGCAUUAACUUCAGCAUUCUUCAGUAGUGAGACUGUUUUUGGACCUUAGAACAUGGGGAAUAGCUACUCUGCAAUGGAACCAGACCAGAGAUACAAGUAGCUCCCAUUUAAUUCUGAAUUUAUUUCUGAUUACGACUCUCCUCAUGUCUGGUGGUGCUGGUCUUUAACAGGAGGACCACAUGGGUGCUCCCUUCUAAUAUGGAGGCCAUAAAUAAAAAUAUUGAUAUACAAAGUGAUCCAUGGAAAAUUUUUGUUCAUCUUGUUAAAUCUGUCAUUUGGGUUAGUCUGAAGCCAAUUUAUCUAAAUGAAACUAAUUUGAUUGUUAGUUUUUAAUUUUGCUGACAGAAUUCUGUUGGAGGGAAUUCUGUUUCUUUUGAUGUUUUUAUUUAGACCUAUUUUUCCAAAUGAGAUUUACAUGGUGGCUCUGGAUUUAUAUUCUAUUUUGCAUGUUGGCCUGGUGAUAUUUCUGUAGUUAGUAGAACUAAAUUAACCUAAAACUUUAUUGAAAAAAAAAAAUAAUGAAAAGAAGAAACAUGCAAGUUAAGAUGGAGGGCUAAAAUGAGCAAGAUUGUUAAAUAUUAAUGAUCGAUUAUGAUACAAAGCUAUUAAUCAAAUGGGGAUUAGAUACUAGAGAGCAUAUAGUCGGCUUGCUUGCUUGUUAUGUGAACACAUGGAUGGAGAUGGAGUGCUUUUCCUUGAGCAGCUUCGAAGGGUUGGAUGCUAGGCUGGCCUAUUGGCUGUGAUGAGGGGCAAGUUACAUCACGAAGGAAAAAACAAUGGAUAGGAAAAUGCAUUUUGGUAGAUAGUCGUGUUUUGUUGUAUGUCUAGAUUCAUGUUGCAACAGAAUCUCUUUACAUGGGGAACCUACCUGCCUCCUCUCUAGAGUACUCAACGGAUGGAGUUUCAUAUUCUUAGCAGUUAAGGAGCCGAAUGAGGCUGACCUAUAAAGUAUAUGCUGCUGCGCUUAGGAUGUUUAACAAGAAAAGAACAUCAUCUUUACAUUUCUUUCAAGUAUCUUCAAUUUCACCUUCAGCUUAGACAUUAUGCUCAAAGGAUUAAUAAUUCAAAUAGGCAUAAUGAUAGUUUGACCUCUUUAUGUGAUUGAAUCUUCUAUUAUUUUUCCAUGUUCUUUUUUUCCUUAUCGACCAGUUUUGGCCAGAAGUCGUGAAGUAACCACGAAAAUUCCUCUUCUGGAUUCAGCAAAAAGUCAUGUACAGCAGGGACUGCAUAUCAUGGCGCCCUUUAUUGUCAGAUCAGGGUAGUUGAAUCUAUGAAGUAUAUCUAUACUAUUUUCAUGUAUAGUUUGAAUCUAAUGGUAGGAGUUUGUGUAUUCUAUGAUACAAUUGAACUUUCGUCUCCCUUUCCCUUGAAUUAGGAGUCUAGACACUCUGCAAAAACAAAACAGUCAAUGAAAUGGGUGAUAUAUAAAUACAAUAAUGUAAAAGAAAGAAAAAAAAAAAAAAACUAGGGUAUUAAAGGUGAUUAAGAGGAUGAUAUCAAGACACCAUUAAGUGGCUGAGUAAAGAGACUGUAAAAGUAAAGAGAGCUAGAAUCAUUUUGUGGAAGCGAGGGUUGUCAAUAAUCUUGCAAGAGGGCAGCAGGUACACAUGUGAAUCGCUGCCCCCCUAUCAGCGAUUUGAUCCACACAAUCACAAGCCCAACAGGCUGGAUGACAAAAUCCACAUUGCUUCAAUGGGUGGUAAAUUUCAGUACCGUUAACAUCGAUCAAUUAAGGAACCCCAUCCACAACGAAGUGAAAAAACUUUAAGAAUGAAGGGGAAUAAUUACUAAAAAGUGGGAAGUGAAAAUGGAAAUUGGAAAAGCAAAGCAGGAAAAUGGAAGAAUGUGUCGACAAACUCAAAUAGGGGGGACAAAGCAUGGAGAAAGUUAAAAGUUCAAAAAUUUUGCAUGAAAAGGGUUGGUGCCGUGGAAUUCAAACUCGAACAGCGGGACUUGAGUUACUUUUGUUACUGCAAUUUCUAUUUCCAAUUGUGUUAUUUUUCACUAUUUCUUCUCAUUCUGGAGCAAAGAAUGACUGCCCAGAAACGGUGUGUAAUAAAUAAUUAGUAAAAAAGGGGGGACGAUGAAAACUGGGUGGAAACACCCCCACUUAGAACUAUUCGAAAGUUGAGAAUAUGUGCAUAUAUAUAUUUUUUUUUGAGAGGGAGAGGAGAGAUAGGGAGAGGGGCCAUGAUGUCCUUUGGAAGGGCAACAAGAGGUUGUAAACCCAAUGGGUUUGGCUCCCAGCAUGUCCUUAAACUCACACAGACCCCAAAACACCCAUGGUCUCUCCUUUGACCCCACAGCCCCACUCGACAUGGUUUCUCUCUCCUCCUCAAGUCUCAGCUUAUAUACCCUUGCACAACCUUUCAAUCGACCCACACCACCUUCACCUUUCCUUUCUCGCUUCUCUGAUUAUCGCCUACUUGCUUCCUUCCUGGUCUUCGACGUCUCACCCGAAGAAAAUGGCUCUCGGGAAAUCAAAUAAACUAUCUCAAACAGCAGUUCUCAAGCAAAUUCUCAAGAGAUGCUCCAGCUUGGGAAAGAAACAAGGUUAUGACCAAGAGGGGCUUCCACUUGAUGUUCCGAAAGGCCACUUUGCAGUAUACGUUGGUGAAAAUAGAACAAGAUACAUUGUCCCGAUCUCCUUCUUGACACGUCCUGAGUUUCAAAGCUUGCUUCAGCAAGCUGAGGAAGAGUUCGGUUUCGAUCACGAGAUGGGCCUCACAAUUCCAUGUGAAGAAGUUGUUUUUCAGUCUUUAACGUCCAUGCUCAGAUGAAACGAAGUUUGGGGGAUGGGAUUGGGUUUGUGUGAGAAAAUGGAUAAAGAGGAAGCUGCUUCAUUGCUUCUCUUCCCUUUUUUUCACCUAUUUUUCUCUUUCUCUCUCUUUUUAUUUUAUUUUAUUUUCUGGGGUUUCUCUUAUAUUAAUUCUAACCCAGAACCCAUGAGCAUUUUUUUGGGUUUAGAUUUUUGUACAUCUCAAAGUUUGAAAUUUUCCUCACGGUGGUGUGGGGUUGUACCCUGUGAGAGAAGUGGACUAAUGUUAAGGAUAUUUGGGGCUGCUGGUCCUUUCUUUUAA